UACGUAGGGUGCAAGCGUUGUCCGGAAUUAUUGGGCGUAAAGAGCUCGUAGGCGGUUUGUCGCGUCUGCUGUGAAAACUCGGGGCUUAACCCCGGGCUCUGCAUUCGGAUACGGGCAGGCUAGAGUGUGGUAGGGGAGGAUCGGAAUUCCUGGUGUAGCGGUGAAAUGCGCGAUAUCAGGAGGAACACCGGUGGCGAAAGCGGCGCGCUGGACUCCCUACUGACGCUGAGGCACGAAGCCAGGGGAGCAAACGGGG
rnacentral:rRNA from 1 species